rnacentral:rRNA from 1 species
GAUGAACGCUAGCGGCAGGCCUAACACAUGCAAGUCGAGGGGCAGCACAGAAACAGCAAUGUUUUGGUGGCGACCGGCGGACGGGUGCGUAACGCGUAUGCAACCUACCUUUAACAGGGGGAUAACGGAGAGAAAUUUCCACUAAUACCCCAUAACAUCGAUCAAGGCAUCUUGAUUGGUUGAAAACUCCGGUGGUUAAAGAUGGGGAUGCGUGGUAUUAGGUAGUUGGUGAGGUAAUGGCUCACCAAGCCUACGAUACAUAGGGGGACUGAGAGGUUAGCCCCCCACACUGGUACUGAGACACGGACCAGACUCCUACGGGAGGCAGCAGUGAGGAAUAUUGGUCAAUGGGGGCAACCCUGAACCAGCCAUGCCGCGUGCAGGAAGACGGCUCUAUGAGUUGUAAACUGCUUUUAAACAGGGAUAAAGCACAGUAUGUAUACUGUGUUGAAGGUACUGUAAGAAUAAGGAUCGGCCAACUCCGUGCCAGCCGCCGCAGUAA